UGGACGUUAACAUGACCACUAGCGUUACUUCAAAGCAGCUACACAUUUCGAGGAGGGAAGAAGCUGUGAAAGAAAAGAUCAUCUUAUCACAAGAGACAAGAGAAGAACAUUCAGAGACUUACAGAACUUGUGCGGAAUCUUCAGCAGCAACUAUCGUAGUGCAAGGGAAAUAACAAGACAAAUGACUCUAUAAACCGUUUAACUGAACAUGUUUUUGAGCUCGAGAGGCAGCAAAUAUUGGAAGACUAGGCUAUGGUGUCUCAUAACAUAUGAGUGUGUUGAAGUUGUAAGUGCAAGUUGAAUUUCUAUUUGUUAUAAGUUAUAUGGCUUUUUUUUUAAAACCCUUCUUUACGUAUCCACCUCUUUCAAAAGGAAGUAGUUAAGCUUUGCACAAGAUGGAUUGUCCAUCAUAAAAUCCAUUCUAAUUAAAAUGUGGCGGCACUUUGAUUCAGCUGCUGUGACACUAACUAAUCUUUGCGAUGUUAUUAAUUUGUAUUAGAAUUAUGAUCAGCACCCUUUAGCUGAUUGAGAUAGAAGAAAACCAUGAUGAGAUAGAUUAUAGAUAAAUGGUGUGAGAUGGUUGGCUUGA